AAAAUGAAACGGAAAUACGGAAACGUUUCGGACGUUGAUCAUGUUGUUAGGGAUUUUAGUUGUGACAUCAUUUUCUAUGUAAACAAAGAAACGCUAUCAUCAGGCUUUUCAGCAAUGGUGUUUUCAUUUGUUAAUGGGAUGUAUCAGAACCAAUUGGGGAACAUUGAAAUGGCCAACAAAAUGAUGAGGUACAGAGUAUAUUCUUCUGCAUUUACAAUGGCCGCAUUAUUUGGUGGCACCUAUUAUCAGUUUCUUAAGUUUAGAAGAAAGAAAGCAGAAUUUGAGAGAAUAUAUGAGGAGAGGAAAGAAGAAUAUGAGAGAACAUUGCAACUUAAUCAACAAAAUCAUAUCAACAAUUCAUAAUGAAACAUCAUAACAAUCACAGACUGCAGUACACAAAUGUUAUAAUAUAAUUAUUGUUCCUUUUUGUUGCAAGAAACUGAACUUGCUGAAGGUGGAACAUAUUUAUGACAAAAGAACACCAGUGGCUGCCAGAGAAAGUUUUAGUAGAGUGCCACAAUAAUCCAUAAAAAGGGAUAACAAUAAUUGCCAAAAAUAUUGCACAGUACAACAGACCACAACAACACUCAAUUGCAACUCUCCUCUGAAAAUCACAGACAUACAAACAACAAUGAACAACACAUGGUCCAGGUAUAGCCUGAUUUGGUACAGGUACAAAAUGUUGUGGGUUAAAACAUAAACCAGUUUUACGUGCAUACCAACCUCCCCAUAUGUCAUGUAACUGAACAAAUAGUCAUUUUUGGGCCCUUUAUAGCUUGCUGUUUGGUGUGAGCCAAGGCUCUGUGUUGAAGACCGUACUUUGAUCAUGACCUAUAAUGGUUUACUUUUAGAAAUUUUUACUUGGAUGGAGAGUUGUCUCAUUGGCACUCAUACCACAUCUUCUUAUAUCUAAAUAAUAAGACAUACUAAGAAAAAUAUAAACAUGUGGAACUUGUUAAUUCUGUGUCACAGUAAUUUAUAUUGACUAUCUAUGACAAACCCUUCUUUUCUCUAGUAAACAAAGAACAAGAAUAAAUGUUAUCAAUUCACCCUGAUGAGUUUUAGGACUAGGAACAAGUAUGUUAUUAUGAAUACAAUGUAUUCUGCAUGUAUUGAGUGUUUCAUUGUUUACAUGUGAGUUGAUUAUAUUUAUAUGAAUUUACUGUUAUACAAAAUUCAUCAUAUAAUAUGUAUAUGGUUUAGUUGCUAAAAUUCAGAUGAUGUGUUUUAAUUUAUUUAUUAGUUAUCUCCCAUUGUGCGCUUUUUGGAAUACAAAAUUGAAGGCUGUACUGUGACCAACAGUUGUUUCAAUCUGCUUCAUUUGGAGUCAGUUGGGUAGUUGUCUCAUAGGCAAUCAUACUACAUCUCUUUAUUUAAUACUAAAGAUAUCAUAGGUUUUGGAUGACAUAAUUUGAGUUAGAGUUAUUUCCCUUGGACUCUAUUUUGGAGUACAAGCUGUUGGUUUUCUUACAUGUAUUUGACCAAACAAAUUGAAACAUGCAAUACACACAACUGUGAUAGGAAGUCCUCACUAGAUCGUAGUGAUGAAUUAAGCAAGGCAAACAGAAUACAAUUUUUUCAGAACAACCCUUUUUCUAAAGUCUAGCAGUUAGUUAUAACAAGUUGAAUUUGGCUGAUUUAUAGGGAAUUUGUGCACUUAGACCUCCUACAUGGCAAUGAAGUGGGAGUAAUUCUUGCUCUAACUGUGUAAAUCAAAACCUAUCUAUAAUCCAUUUAAGUUCUAUGGAUGAUAAAAAAAUAAGAAUUUUAAAUAAUGUUGUUUGCAUUGCAGUUUAUAUGUAUUUUUGUAGCAUUUAAAAAAUAAAUUAUUUAAACAAGGUAAAUAAUAUGUAAUGGGGUGAAUGAACUGGCUGUGAAAGCAACUUGUCAGGUGAUCUAUUCAUAAUUCCAUACAACAUGAUAUGAAGUGUGACUAACUAACCUUGGUCAAUUGUCCUUCAUCAUACUUGUACUUUAGUGAAUGGUACUUCUAUUUUCAAAUGAAUGGUUUUUGGAGUAAUAAACUGUCCCUCACUCUCUAUAGGUUGGAUUGUGAUAUUCAUAUUUACUGAAGAAACCUAGGCAACUUUCUUUUUUUAUUAAUUUACCAAAAAUUAUGUUAAAGAGUUCAUAUUGCAGUAAGAAAAGAUGUCAUUUUGACAAAGGGAAUAGCCCCUUGUAUGUUCAAAUGCAGAAGAAGGGAAAAAAACACAUGUGUUCAUCUUAGUGUGUGUGUGUAUUUGUAUCAGAGUGGAAUGUUUUUUUAUGUCUAUUUGUUCACAUGUUGAACAUGAACACAGACCUCAGACAAAAUGUAUCAGGAGGGAUGUCUCCCAACUUGUAGCAGAACCUUGACAGGGAUACACAUAUGCAUAAUUUAAUACCAUGUCAUGUGACUGUCAAGACCACUGCGGUAAAUGUGUUAUCUGUAACUGCAGUUACGUAUUUCCCAAGAUGGCAAACGAUAUUUUUGGUAAGUAUUUCUUUUGUCGAUUUUGUAAUAAUUAUGCAUUAUUUUUCGGUAUUUCGUGUCUUUUUUUAACAUAUUACUAAAUUUGAAACUGAAAUACUAACGUUUUUUUCAUAGUCCAACUGCUAAAAAUAGAAAUAAGCCGUCCAAAAAAAACUGCAGUUAUGGAUAUCACGUUCACCCCAGUGAAGACUUGGAAAGGCUUUUAAUGGUUUGCAUGGGUAUUUACACUUGCCCCAUUAUCUUAAUUUCUAAUUUCUUGCCCAACAUAAAAAUUAGACUGAGGAAAAAAUACACCAGUCUUUUCCAACUAUAGAUAAGUUUAGGUCUUGUGUCUCAUCAUACAUGUAGAUACCGGGAUGACUCGAGUCAGAGUGUCACCCCAUCAUUUUUUUCUUUUUAAGUUGAAAUUGAGUCUUCAAGUAAGCCUGGUAGCUAAUGUGUGCACAUAAGUUUGUUUUAUGAAGAAAUCUGUAUUCUCUUCAUGUGUAUUUAGUUGAAUUAUGUAAAAGUAUUACCAGUUAAAGUGCUAUAUUCAUUAUUAUCAUAUUUAAGUAACUAUUCGACAUUCUCAUUAAAUGCUUGCAUCAUU